rnacentral:rRNA from 1 species
UACGGGGGGAGCAAGCGUUGUUCGGAUUUACUGGGCGUAAAGGGCGCGUAGGCGGUCAGCACAAGUCAGUUGUGAAAUCUCCGGGCUUAACCCGGAAAGGUCAACUGAUACUGUGCGACUAGAGUGCGGAAGGGGCAACUGGAAUUCUCGGUGUAGCGGUGAAAUGCGCAGAUAUCAGGAGGAACACCAAUGGCGAAGGCAGCUCUCUGGGACGGUACUGACGCUGAGACGCGAAAGCGUGGGGAGCGAACAGG